UCGGAUCGCAGGCUGCAACCCGCCUGCGUGAAGUUGGAAUCGCUAGUAAUCGCGGAUCAGCAUGCCGCGGUGAAUACGUUCCCGGGCCUUGGACACACCGCCCGUCACACCAUGAGAGUCGGGAACACCCGAAGUCCGUAGUCUAACCGCAAGGGGACGCGGCCGAAGGUGGGUUCGAUAAUUGGGGUGAAGUCGUAACAAGGUAUC
rnacentral:rRNA from 1 species